CCCAAAUAUAUUGUAAUAUUACAUUUGAAAGGAAAGUCCAGCUAGACAUAGACAAAAACCAGCCGAUAUAUAUAUUCAACAAGCCUUAUUUCUACCCUAAACACAAACCUAUCUCUUCCGUUUCAUGGGUUCUCACAUUUGGGACGUUUUCUAGCAACUCAUCUUCUGCUUCGUUUUCCUUUUCUAGUCUCUCUCUCUCUGUUUUUUUUUGCUAAGAAAUAAUAUUUUCGAGAGAGAGACUCAGGAAUAUACACAUACAAGAUCUGAAUAUGGGGGGAAAGUAUAUGGAGAUGUUUCGAAUAGCUGCAAGAUUUCAUUCUCAUUGCCCACAAACUGCUCGCGUGUACUACCAUCCGCCGCCUAACGCUGACGACCACCACAACAACCACCCCCAUCCCCACCAACACGGCUGCGGCUGCGGCGGAGGCACUAGCAGCGCCAGCAAUCCAGAGGCAGUCACGAGGGUACUGGACGUAAGAGAGCUCAUUCUCAAUUCUAUUUGACAGCGACGAACAGAUAAGGGAAGAUAGUUAAUGUUCUGCAGAAAAAAUCUGUUGAAUCUUUUAUUUUAUUGAACCCAGAAGAUGCUUUCAUUUUCCAUUCUCAAAUCUCAAGCGUGCUUGUUCUUUUAAUAAUGAAUAUUCUUUCCUACUUAUAUUUCUAAUGAAUUAAUAUUUUUAUCUAUGUGGUGAUGCUCUUAGGUUGGCUAUUCGUUAACAAAAAUAAAAUCCAUGGUGUUUUUUUUUUUAUAGCUUAUCAGAGACAAGAUCCAUGAUGUUCUAGUAAAAAGGGUGGUGAUUAAGGGGAGAAAAGUAGGCCAACAACUUGUUGGGUGUCCAGAAACACUGUGAUAUCUCUUUAAUUUACACGAGAACAUGUACCUCAAAUGGCUGAACAAAACUACAAGCUGGGGUCUUUUUCAUAAGAUCUGGGUCUUUUCUGGUGGAAUAUUUGAGAUCUUCUUUUAAUUCCAUUUAUGAACACCCCCAUCCCCCCGAAAAAACCAAACUGAACGCAAACCAGACAGACAACCUUAAAUGAGUAGCGUGGUGUCUUUAUUAACAAAUUAAGAAUGCGUCAUGACCUGGAGCAUCACCGUUUUAUUAAAAGAUUUUGCCAGCGUAACAGCAUUAGGUGGAGGUUUAAAAAUGGGAGGUCGUCGUGGGUGGAAGUUAUCAAUGGCUCUCGAUGAACUCUUAAGAAUCGCAGAAACGUUUCUCAGAAUUCAAUGAGAUGUCAAAAUGAAAUUUGAACAUGCAUGAAGGGUUUACUUGAUGCUGGCAACAUCAUCAUAUAUAACAGAUCAUCAAUUUUCUUCGACGGACAGUUACAGACAGGGGUGUUUUUCUUCAUAUAUUUCUUGGAACUAAACACUUAACAUCAAAAAAUAAAAUAAUCGAGAACCCUGAGUAACUGGCGGAGCCGCUAAAGUAGCUAAGGUGGUGAUAAAUCCGGUCAGUAAUCUAUCUAUUCCUAAUCUCCAGUAAAAAUCAAAAAAAUUAAUCCAUUUAUAAGACUCGGUCAAUUGGAUUAAGGGAUCGUCCAAUUAGAAAUAAUAAAAGAAUGCAUAGGUCAUUAAAAUUAAAGAGUUCUGGUACACAUAUAUAUUAACAUUUUUAUUUACCUUUCCGUGAUCAUCAAGGCAAUUCUGUAAGAGCAAUAGUGCCUUCUUUUGACCUAACUAGGAGCGGGUUUCGAAAAAGUACACGUUGUCUUUAAUUCCCCCACCUGCCAAACAUUGGCAAAGAUUCGCAAGCCUGCCUGCCACGCAUGACUAGAAUCUUUGAUUGCUCCCUUGCGUCGCUUCUUUUUUGUUGCUGGUUAAUUCGUUCAUUCAAAAUGAAUAAGAGGGUAGCAACUCAUACUAUAUGUGUUUUGAUGUAUUUAAAAAAUAUUUUUCUUUUGAAAAAAUAUUAAAUUUAUAUUUUUAGUGUUUUUUAUGAUUAAAAAAUUAUUUUAAUAUAUUUAAAAAUAAAAAAUAUUUUUAGAAAUCACUUUGGAUUUUAAACCCUAAAGUCAGAAUUCAAGUUGCAGCUUAUUGGUUCUUUACUUGCGUUUUCGUUUGAACACUUUUUUCAAUUUCUCUUUCGUGUAGGGUUUAAUUUCAAAGUCAUUAAAGUUUUUCCCUAAGGAUUUAUUCAUAGAUCUACAUAAAUUGGAAAAGAUUUAAUGGAUAAAAUUGCUUAAUUACGAGGUACGUAAAUGAAUUAUCAACCCCCUUAGUUAAUUAUGAGAUUAAUUUAUGGGUUUUUUUUAGAAAAAAUCAUACAAUUGCUCUGCUUUAUUUUUUUUUCUUUUAGUGUGAUCCUCUUUUUAUUUGUCUUGAGUAUUAUUUAAGCUUACAAAAUCCAUUUUAUAUUACUGAUUUAUCAACAAACCUUCUUAUUGCUGGCAAAAAAAAAAAAAAAGUGCUAUAUCCGAAGAUGGCUUUGCGUAGAGACACUUCCUAUGUUAAUUAAAUCAAGCACAAUAUUCCUACGAUCUUCUUAAGCCUUUAAUCGUCGAAUUAAUUAAUUAUAAUAAGAUGCCGUCUUCGGCAACUUGCUGGGGAAUCCAAAAUUGCGAUCGCUGGAUGACUGCAAUGCCGAUUGGCAAAUUCCGCAUAAAAUUAACACACCAUUGCAUAUGGCAUGCGACAUAAAAUAAUUCAGUGGUCACUAACAAUAUAUUAUAAUUAUAAUUAUUAUAAAUAAAGUUAAAAGAUGGGGGAGAAAAAACUGUUUCCACACCUAUUAAUACUGUGGAUUACUAGUGUUGGUUUAUUUUACUCCCUUUUCUUUUGUUAUUGAUUUUUUUUAAUUUAGUUCUUAUAUGAUGUCUUUAUAAGAAUUUAGAGUAAAUAAUUUAUUUUAAUUUGUCUUUAUAUAGUUAUUGCAGUAUAAAAAAAUAUCUCAACAUCGUGGUAUAAUUUAUUUUUAAAAAAAAUUAGUUAAAUAAAAAAUAAUUUUAAAAAAAGGUUAUUAAACUUUGUAGGGUCAAUAACCUGGUUUGCAAGUUUGGCAAGAUAACUCUGGUUAUUUCUAUUGGCGAGUUUAGUGGAGUACUUUUUAUUUUUUUCUAAUUAAAUUCAAUCAUGUGAUUGUCUAUUUUUAUUUUUAUUAUAUAUUUGAUAAAAUAGUUUCAGAAAAAAAAUGUUAUUAAAGUUUAGAAAAUCCAUGAUGUAUGGUGAAUUUAACUUUUUUUUUUCUCUUUUUUUUUAUAUAUAUUUUUUUUAAUUUUCAUCCCUUGAUAUAGGCUGAUUGAGAAUUGAAUUUUAUAAUUUGUUUUGUUUUAUUUUCUAUAAGGUUAUUAUAGUCUUAAAAAAAUUCUCAGUAUUAGUUUGACGCUCGAUUUUACGAUUGUCUAUUUUUGUUAUCAUAUAGUUAAAUAAACAAUAAUUUAGAAGGGAAAAAAAAAAAAACAAAGUUACUAAUCCCAAUGGAGUCCAUUACCCAGUUUACAAGUUUAACGUGUUGACUCGGAUUACUCAAUUUACGGGUUUAGUGGGUUUACCCAUGAAACCUGAUUUUUUUUUAGUUUCACUUUUAUUCAAUAUUAGAACUCAUGGUUUAUUUUUUUCUACUUUUUAUAAGGUUACCAUAAUCUCAAAUAACUAUUUUUUUAGGGUUGAUGCUCGAUUUUAAAAGCAUAUAAUGCUAUAAUAAAAAUAAAUAAAAAUAAUUUACAAAAAUAACAAAGUUAUUACAUCAUUAAAGUCUAUGACCAAAGUUGCCAGGUGACCAAAGUCUAUUCAAUCUGACAUCAUCUCAAUAUAAAAAAAUUAUCGUUUUAAGUUUUUUUAUUUAAAAUUAUACCAUAUUUUUAUUGAUUAUCUAAAUUAUCUGUGGACCUAUUAAAUUAAAUAAUUUACUUUAAAUUAAUUUUCACAUGAUUUAAUUUAAAACUCGAGUCAUAUAAAGAGCGGAGUUAGUCGAUUUUAAGAUUAAAUUACUUUAUUGGAUUUAAUAAUAUUACCUAAAACAAAUCUUUAUUUAUUUAAAAAAAGACAGAUCCGCAUCGGAUAGCGAACAAUGUCCUGGUACCAUUCAAAGAUGAUAAUAGCUCCCUAAGAUGUGUCAUGCUCACCAUGAAUUUAUUAGAGCAUACUUCAUCUUUCAUCGCCAUCACAAUAUUUGCAUAAUCUCUUCAACUAAAAUGACAGCCCAUCAGACAAACUGGUAUCUGACAAUCCAAAAAUAUCAUCAACCGGCUGACUAGAACCAAAAUUCAAUGUCGUGGAGUGAGAGAACAGGAGGAAAAAAACAAAAAAACGUAACAGCCCCACGGUAGCACAUGACUCGGGGACCAGCAGCAUGAUGCCAUCAGAAUUCAGAAUUCAGAAGGUUGGUGGCAGAAAAAUAAAAAUGUCACAUUAGUGUAAAGUUUUGCCCGUUGGAUUGGUUGAGGACAGAAAGCCGAUGAAAUUUAUCGAGCAAAUAUCAAGAGGUACAACACAAAUCAACUCAGAAAACUGGAGAGUUUUGAGAUAAUCACAAGACAGUAGUGGCCUAGCAUUGUCAAAAGUCAGUCUAAGAAACACACUACCCAUCACGGUGCCCAGGAAGAUUUAAAUAACUAAAGCAGCAGAGUUUGCACCAGAUCACUGGCUCCCUGAAUGUGGCUUCCGAGCCACGAAGAAAAACAGCGGGGUGAAAAUCUCCUUCCUGGAAGGCAUAAUAAUAAAAUUCCGUCAUUAUUAUGGUAACGUAAGUAUUAGAAAACCUCAUGAUCAUAAACUUCAACAAUUGUUGAAGAUAAAUUUUCUGGUAUAUUAAAAAUCCGUGAAUUCUUUUGCUCACACGCUACUCAUAAGUAACCCAUAAGCAAUCCAAGACCAUAGAGCUAGUAAGAGGAAUUAUUCCUAACGUUUUGUCAGGAAAAAGAAAAAUUCAAGGUGGAAGCAUCCCAGCCAUUUGUUGGCCAGGAGAUGCUUGUUAUAAGCUGCCCCAGACCAACAUACAAGGGUGAGGGGAAAAAAAAGGUGUCUGCUUGAGGCUCAAAAUGGUCUCGUAAGGUGGUCAAUUAGGUAAAAAUACACAAGCACUGUAUGGGCUGAACAUAAGGGUCCACAAAGGAGGCUAACAUGAUAACAGAAAGACUCACCUUCCACCUUCAACUAAUCCCUCUGCAGCCUUCUCAAGAAAAUCUUGAACCCUUUGACUUCCUUUGGGAGCAAGUCCUACAAAUUCCAGGGCUUUGACCUGCAAGGUGAAUUACCAGUUAACCAUCCACGAGGGCUGCAAUAAUCAGAAAUAUAAGUUCAUUCGCUUUGGAGUGCCAAAUAAUAGGGUGAUAAUGGUACAGGAACCAAACAGCUUGGACCGAUAUUUACCAUAUUUUUUGUAAAGAAUCUCCCAACAGCUGUUAAACGGAAGCUACUCAGUGAGAAGUGACUUGUGUCCAAAGGCAAGUACCAUGGCACAGGUGAGCCCACUGCAAGAUCUUUUGACCAUAUGACCUUCACAGACAGAGUAAUGACAACCAUUAUCACGAUCAAAUGUUUCAGAUAUCAACUAUGAAAAGGAGACAGAUUCUUUACUGACCUCAAAACCAGCUUUCGUUAGAGCAUCAAUGCAUUGUCCAGUCAACCUGAUGUCUGGAAGGCCAUCACCAAUCUCUAUUUCUGCCUGCGCAGAUUAAAAUAUGUUAAAUUCACGGCCAUGAAGAUUGAAAUCACUAAUAGAAAACAGGAGGCCUUUUUAGACAGCUAAAAUAUCUAACCUUAAUUUUUUGAUGUUCUUGGUUAUGUGGAUCGAAAGAAUCAGUCAUGCACCACUCAUAUGCAGCAAAACAUUGUCCUGGCUUCAAUACCCUGUAAAUCUCACUGUAGCAUCCAUACUGUUCAGAAAAUACAGAAUGUUACAAAGGUCAGAGAGAGAGAGAGAUACCUAUUUACGUACAUAAAUACUUGUCUACAUAUAUAUAUGUGACACAAAGAUACCAGGAAAUAUAAAUUGAGAGAGUUUUUCUAGGAACAUACUGCAUCUGGUGCAUGGCAGGUAGCUUCAAUUGCAUAUACAGCAUCAUAAAUGUUAUCAGGGAAUGGCAUUUUCAUGAAAUCACCCUGUAUAAUCAAGAAACAACUAAAAUUACAGGUCACUGCAAAUAUAAAAAUCAUAUCCUAGAACUCGUGCAUGGCAUGUAUAUAUGUUAAAAUUUUAAACCAGGUACACCAAAUUAGCAAAAGAAUAAAGAUGGAACAAAACAAAAGUGCUUAAUAGAUAGGAACUCAACAAGAACUUGAAUUUACACCAAGAACAGAACCAACCUUCACAAAAUCACAGGUCCUGUCAACUCCUGCAGUGCGAUUUAGUUCCUGCAAAGUAAUAUAGGCAGUGAGCUUCAAUGCCAUUUUGAAACCAUCAUGGCAAACAAAUUAAAAGUGAAAAGUAUGGAAAUCAAAUAAAGUCGAUCAAUUUCAGAUAAUCCACCAAAUGCAAGAACACAACUCUUUUAACUGACAUAUAUGAAAAGGAUAGGCAUGCACCUUUCCCCUUGAUAUCUGAUACUCAUUGUUGUUCAACCCUGUUACUGAUGUUGAGCUGCAGCACAUCACCAUAAUAAUUAUGAUAAGCCUAAAGCACUCUCAUGGACAGGAAUUCAAUGCAAAGAAAGUGAACUUAUUUGUCAACAUGAAGAACAGUAAGAUUUCAUCCAACAAUUAAUACUUGAGCUACUUCCAGAUGAGGCCCAGCAUUUUCACGAUCCAUGUUGCAAAUACUACCAAAGGACUACAAACAUUGUUUACAGCAACAGGGCAAAGUAGGAUACCAGUCCAACAAUUGGUUCUACCGCUUCCCAUUAAGAUUUGAAAAGACCACCAAAUCACUACCGCGAUUAUGUCAUAACAAGAAGCAGAGUAGGAUGCCUGUCGAACAAUUAUUAGUUGCUCUGCUUCCCGGUAAGAUAGUUUACAUCAAGUGAAAUAUGAAGCCAGAUGGUGAUAGCAGCCAUUUAUCAUCCUUGCAUUUUUUAAACUACUACCAUAAAAGGCAGCAUUUAAGAACCUAACACCAUAUAGGGAUUCAGCAAAAACUACAAAACAAAAUCCAAGAUGAUGCACAUGACAAACCUACGAAUAAAGUCAGUAUGCAGUUAGCAUAACUUAAAUUUGAACCCUUCUUUUUUACUGGCAUUAUCAGGGAAAGGAAAUUUUUGCCACUCACCUGAAUCGAGCAAUUUCUCUUAAAGGCCCGCCAAUUCCACAUCCUACAUCCAACACCUAUUUUAACAAAAAGAGGUCAAGUUAAUGCAUCAAGGUCAUUAAAUGAAGUAGAUCUCCACUUGGUUUGACAAUAUUCUGUAGAAGAGGAUAAACCUUCUGUCCAGGUUUCAGGCCAAGUUGUAAAGCGAGAAAGUGUUCAUGUCGCUUGAUGCUCUCGCGAAGAGACUCCCCUUUGAAUCUGAAACAAGAAAUAUUUUACUUGCAAUCAGACUUAUAAAUAGCAGUUGUGAUCAGCCUUAAAAUAUGCGUGCAAAACCUUAAUAUAAAAUGUAGAAGACACAAAAAGGGUACCUAGGAGCAAAAUGGAAAGACUCCCCCCAGCCAAACUCAUAAAAGCUGGUAACAAGAUCAUAAUAUUUAUUAACCUGUAGUUUAAAUGUGAUGAGUUAAUAGGUAUAGGUUAAAUAUCACUGUUUGGAGCAGCAAUAAGUUCGCAUCCAAAAGAAAAUAAACAGGUUAUUCUUAUUUCAACAAAAUAUUUCAAUUCUUCACACUCAAAUAGAAACAUUACAGAAGAUUAAUAGCACCAAGAUACAUGUUGCAUAUCUAGCUGACUGAUUUGAUUUAGGAUAAUCUAAACUUUAUGGCUAAUAAACUUGAUGAUAAAAGAACAUUAUUCAUCCUUGUCUUGAUAGAAGUUGCAAGGGAAAACUUCCAUGGAAGUUUCCAAAAUAUUGUUUCAAGAGGUUUUUGCAUGGAUCAGGGUUCUAUUUAAAAUUUAACUGUUUGGUUUCAAGUAAACCAAUUUAUAUUUAGUAACUCAUAAAAGGGAUAACAAGAAACUUAGCUUCUCAGACAUAUUAUGAGCUAUGAAAUGGACACUGCAUGCAGUAUCAUAUUAAUGUUUUUAUGACACAAGGAAUAUAUCAAUAAAAAGUUUCGAGCAUUAUGCAAAAUCAAUUAGCACUUAAUUUAGAGACCAAUGAAAAUGUAUUGAAAAGGAAAAUAAAAAAGUUCAAUUAUACAUCCCUCUGAGACUAUAAAUACACAAGGAGAAGCUAAAAGUUUUCCAAAGCUAAAUAUAAAGAGAAGGAAACUGAAAGGAACAGCUUAUCUGCAGGAAAUACAUGAAGUUCAAUCUUAAGAGGAUAGUUGACUUGACCUUCUCUUACCAUGUCAGAGUAGUUGGCUUUUCUCUCUUCCUCAUCACCUCCAUAACAGACAUGAUACUUCUCAUACCUGGAUUGUCAAUAUAAGAUUUUCAUAAAAGAAUUUCAAUAAGAUUCAAGAAAAUUUAAGGUUUGAAAACCUAAAAGCUCACACAUGCCGCAUAAGAAUUUCCAGGAAGUUUCGAUUGAUUACACCAGCACCAAACUCAAACUUUAGACUGCAGCUUUUGCUUCUGUUUUUAGGUGCUUUCCAGAAGUGCUUUAGGCUUGAAAAAGCAUUAAAUUGAUUCUUUUUUAGUGUUUUCUGAUGGUUUUAAAGCGUUGAUGUCAAAAAUUAAAAAACAAAUCUGAAAAAAAUUCAUUUUGAUGCAUUUUCAAGCAAAAAGCUAUUUUCCCUGCACCAUAAUCCCAAACACCCUGACUUUACCAUCAAUAACAAUGCCUUCUAUAGUAGCUCAAGAAAAAUAAUUAAUAAAAAAUCACUUGCAUGCAAAAAUAAAAUUCUAUCUUUUGCACAAAAGAGUGACUCCUGGGAUUUUUCAUUUUUCCUAAAUCCUUCAGGUCCUUUCUGAGAAUUUCCCUAGAAAGCAGGCUCCAUCAAUCCCCUGAACAAUCUAGGAAUAUUCGUGUGGUUCUUUUGUGAUCCAAUUUCCAUGUACAACAGAUAUAAUUCACUAUUCAACCUAAAAAAACAUUACAAGCAAACAAAAACCUGAUUUCUAAACAGCCUGUAACACACUAGAGACGCAAGGGAAACCUGAUAUAUAGUCAUGAUUGAAAGGGUGAUUGUUUGGUUUGGGUUCUCAUAAAAAUAUGUGUUCGGUUAAAACUGUUGUUAAAACUGUUUUAAAAGGUAAAAUGACUAAAGAACGAGUAGUGAAUUCAUAACUUCAAAUUAAAUAAAAAGCGUGAGAUUAUCAAAACAUAAAAAAUGUGUCUCUUGCUGUUUGUGCUGGCAUCAAGGACCCAUGGAGAUCCAUCUAUGAAAGCCCUCCAAACCUUAUGGGGAUGAUUUGUGUAAAUCUGAUGGAGUGUUUAUUAUAGGUAAAACCAAACUUUUGUUUCUCCAAGUACACGCUGGAGUGUUUGAAUUGCAAAGGUUAAAAUGGUCCAUCGAUUUUUCAAUGGUAAGAAAAGCGGGAAGAAGAUAAUAAAAGCAGAAUUGCGGUUCAAGAAAGCAAUGCUUUACCAUAACCGAGGUUAGACCUCAUUUAUGGCAGGCUCCACAAAUUAAACCACACUUUUAUUUGAUAACCAAACACUAUGGCUGGGGAAAAAAGCAAAAGCCACCUUAAUCCCAAACAUCCACCACUGCUAAACACACACGUAGUGGUACAGCCAUGGAAAAAGACAAAUCAUAUGGAAGCCAACAUUCAGUUCCAAGUUCACAUGCUAGCCAACCCAUGUUACUCUUUUAUCUGUUUUCUUUGUAAUUUCCCCGAACUCAAAUUAAAGCAGGCAUAUCUAAUCUAAUCAUUUUCGUUUUCGAAACAAAAAAAAGAAUAGAAUAAAAUUGGUACAAUCACCUUCUACUUGUUAUGAUUUCUGAACUCAGAAAAAUAAAUGAUUUACAUGUCAGAUUCAAGAAAGUGGGAACAUGCACAACCAUUGUUCUUAUCAAACCAGGCUGAAGCUCUGUGGUUAAUGGUGUCAUCAAAUCUUGGUCAGUACAGGCUAGGAGAAAGGUGUAAUGAUCAAGCUAAAUAGGCAGAAUUUAAAACAAAACAAUAUAAAUAAGAAAGAGAAAGAUCAAAUCAAGCAUGAAUAGAGAAGGAAGAAGAAUACUUCUCGACAGCAGAGAGAACAUCACUUUUAUCGAUCUUUCCGCCAAGACCAGUAGCGAGAUCCAAUGCACCAGCUUUCGACAUUUCUCUUGAAUCCAACAAUACAGAGAUCCAAAACAAAGCAAAAUAAUAAAUCAGUGGAAACGGAUUGGAUCCUAGUUUUCGGAUGGAAAUGCAAAAUGUGUGUGAGUGAGAGAGGGGGAGUGUGAAUCUAAAGCUAAAGGUUAGAUCGAACGUUGAUUGUGGCCGCUAUGAUUGGGAGAUGAAAUAGGAAAGUUGGUUUUGCUAAAGGGGCCUUUUUUAUACCUAUACAGAAAAAGGAGAUAUUAAAAAGAAAAAAGAAAAAGAUGUUGAGAAGGUGACUUUUGAAAUUACAUUGUUUCAUCAAAAAAUUAAUUUUUUAUUUAAAUUUUAUUUAUAUAUUUUUACAUCAUUUUAAUGUAUUAAUAUUAAAAAUAUUUUUAAAAAAAUAAAAAAUAUAUUUUAAUAAAUUUUCAAAAAAAAUUAAAAAAUAAUCACAAAUAGUCAAAUACAGUCUCAAAUACCUUUUAAAUUUGAGAAAGGAUAUACAUGACAAAUUAUUCUUGGGAAUGCAAACCGUUUUGACCAAAACUUGCUAACAAUUGAGAAUGGAUGUUUGGAAUGGUUUCUACUUUCUUGUUUUUUUAAAAAAGUAUUAAAUUAAUAUUUUUUUAUGAUUUUAAUAUAUUAAUAUAAAAAUUUUAAAAAAUUAUUUUAAUAUAUUUUUUUAAAAAAAUUAUUUUAAAAAAUAGUAUUUCAAUCUUGAAAACAUGAAUGUUUUCAAAAUGUGAAUUCUUAUAAAUAAUUCAUGUAUUUAGAAUAUAUUUGGGAACGCGGUGCAAAAAAAUUCAAAAUUUUUUUUGUUGCUAAAAAUUAAUAUAUUUUGUAUGUUUUAGAUCGUUUUAAUGUGUUGAUGUCAAAAAUAAUUUUUAAAAAAUAAAAAAAAAUCAUUAGCAUGCAUUUUGACACGAAAAGUUAUUUGAAAAGCAACCACAACCACACUGUCAAAUACUCUCUUAAUAAAAUUAUAAUAGAGAUUGAAUAUCUGUGAUUUUACCAUCAUUAAACUUAAUUAAUAUAUGCCACACACCAUGCAGUAAAGAAUUAUAAGCAUACUUAGCAUUAUUAAUUAUUUUUUUUAACCAGUACAUAUUCGAGGUUUUAUCAUUAAGCGUAUAAAAUUUAGAAUGUCGAGAUAGAUAUUUUUUUUACAUCCUUAAAUAUAUAUCUAAAAAACUUUCACUGAUUAUUGAUGUAACCACACAAAUAAUACGGAAUGAAAUUAUAGGCAAAAAAAAAAAAACAAAAUUUCCUCUAAUAAAACAAUAUUGUUUUGUCUACGGGAAUUAUAUAUAUACAAAAAAAAAAAAACAAAACAAAACGGCUAUUGGAUGGAACAUGUCAGAGCCGUGAGGAGUGAGAAAACGCAAGUCUGUGAGGAAGCAAAAAGCUGAAAGAGAUUCCAAGAAAGACAGCGCGAUAAAUUUGUCUUUUUCGUUGACGCCGAGAAGACUCCACGUCAGAUCACGUGAUCGGCACGUGUUCCGUUGCACGUUCACAGGAUCUAUGUCAGAGGAGUCAUCCCCCUGAAGUGAUGCCAGUUCAGUGAGUGACUGGAAUCUGGUUCCCACACCAGAGGAAGGCCCUGUUGAUAUUGAUAUUGCAUUUUAAACGGGAAUUCAGUAAAUUUUUUUUAUCUUUUUGAUAUAUUAAUAUUAAAAAUAUUUUUUAAAAAAUAAUAAAAAAUAUUUUUAUAUAUUUUCAAGUAAAACACACUUUAAAAAAUAACCAUUAUUAUAUUUCUAAAUACCAUUUAAGAGCGGUUUAUUAUUUAUGCGGCAUGGUCGUGUUUUUUAAAAAUAUUUUUUUAAUUAAAUUUUUUAUAUUAAAAAUAAAAAUAUUAAUUUAAAAUAUUUUUAAAUAAAAAUAAUUUUAAAAAUAUUAAGAUUCAACUUAAAAAAUAAAAAUAUAUCAUAAAUUCACGGCGGGCAUGCAACUCCAGUGCGGAGCAGUACUUUGGCAGUGUUUGGCAUUGCGUUCUGGAAGCGUUUUUUAAAAAUUUGAAUUUUUUUAUUUUUUUGCUUUAAAUUAAUAUAUUUUUUAUGUUUUCAUAUCAUUUUGAGAUGUUAAUGUUAAAAAUAAUUUUUAAAAAAUAAAAAAAAAUAUUUUAAUAUAUUUUAAAAUAAAAAAUAUUUAAAAAAACAAGUAUUACUAUACUUUUAAAUACCUUUUUAUCUGUGAUCUGGCCCAGAAACUCUAGCAAGCUUUGUCCGGGCUUCGGCUCGUAGUUUUAUAAGUGGACCACGUCUUGUUGAAGUUUUGGUCCAGCAGCUCCAUGGUCAACCGGUCCGAAUCCAGGUCGUCAUGAACUCAUAAUAUGCAGCAACGGUGCCCCCACUGCAUGGAGUGUUGCAAUAUUUUCUUAUUCGACGAAGAUUUAUUAAUAAUUGUGUUUUGUAAAUAACCAUAAAUUUCAUGUUCAUGAAUUAAAAAUAUUUAAAAAAUAUAUUUUUAAGUUAAAAACAAAUAUAUUAUUUAGUAUGUUUUAGAAUUCAGCCCACUCUCGAUUUAAAAAUACAAUAAUGAAAAAAUAUAGCCACUUUAGUAACCCUUUAUUUGGAGUUGGCUUGAACAUUAAAUAUUUGAAAUAUAUUUUUUAAUAUAUAUAUAUAUAUAUUUGAAAACAAACCUGGAGAACGUAAAAUUAGAAGUAAAUCUACUUCCCACCGAGCUAUUUUUAAAUACACUCGUCAUUUUACAACGAAAACUUGUAAUUGUAGUAGAACUUGUGACUGCCUCAAUGCUGUCAUCGUUAAUAUUUACUAAUUGAUAUAAAGAAAAUAGUUUAACUACCUUGCAAAAAAAUUAGAUGACUACUUGUGAAUUAUUUUAAUUUCGUGUUUAUUACUUCUACCAAAAAAAAGAAGUCGUUCCUUGAUAACAGUAUCAACUUUGAAUAAAUGAGCUACGUUUUAAUUUAAAUGCAGCACAAACUAAAAUUUAGUCAAUCCUCUAACCGUUUAAUUUAAUACCGUGUUAAUAAAUAUACUUUGGUUAAGUUUGAGUAAUUAUAUCUAACUUAAUUUUUAAUAUUUUAUAAAUUAUAAAUCUAAUUUAUUUAAUUUAUUUAACAAAACAGAGUAGAUAUGUCGGGCUAGAUUAAUUUUUUUCUGUAAAUAUUACAUGUAUUAACAGGUUAGAUUUAUAUUACUAAUUGUUAUGGGUUUAUAUUUAGAAGCGAACUUACGACAUAAACUCUAGAUAUUAUAAAUCUCAAUAUCAAAUCUAAUUUUUAUACAUUGCACCGAUAUUAAAUUAUAGGUAUCUCCUUCUCCACUCCAACAAAAAAAAAAACAAUAUUUUUUUUUAAUGUUAAGUAGAUUUAAUGAGAAGAUCACUAAUACUAAUUUUAUGGUAGAAAUAUUUUUAAAUAAAUAAAAAUAAAUAUUCAAUCCAUAAAGAUUAAAAAUAUAUAUAGUAUAUAAAUUGAGUCUGGAAUUUUGACCUUUCAUUUAAUCUAUGAUAUUUAUUUUUUUAAUUUUUUUAAUUUAUAAUUAUUUAUAAUAUCAAUAUAAUAUUUUGAUAAAUUCAAUCGGCUUAAAUAAUAUAAAUAUUAGAGAGGAAAGGAUUUUUUUCAACACCACUACCAUUUAAUUCGUCCGUGCGAAACCUCAAUAAACGCAAGAGAAAAAAGGAAAUUACUAAAAACCAAUUUAAAAAACUACGUGGCAGGGUUUAACCGGCCGCUUGAGUGAAAAACAGAACCGCAAAACCAAAACUGAGAAUAAAAAAAAAGAAAAAAACGAAUAAAACCUUUUCCCUGCAGAAAACACAGAAAAAAGGAGCCAAUUGAUCUUCUCAACAGCCAUCUCUACAUUAAAAACGCAGAGUUUUACACCAGCAACUUCAAGAACUUGACCAGGAUCCUUUUCUGUUGCAAGUAUUCUAUCUUGUUCCUGAUAAAAUAUUCGACAUUGUUUCCCCUCAUGCAUUUGCUGCUAUUCAGAUAUAUCUAAACAAUUAAAAAAGGCUUCCAAUUCAGUUAAAUCAGUUAAUUAUUACUUAUUUAUAUCUAUAAGCGAUCAAAUAAUUGUUGCUGACAAUUAUUGCACGAAUUGCCAGGAAAUCUUGCUGGAGCUAAUUUCUUUUUAAUUAAAUUUAGCGUGAAAUGGACAGUUACGAUGAUUUCACUUUUUGCCAGGUAUUUACACUGCAUUCAUUUAAUUACUUAUUCGAAUAAUUAAUUUCACUUUCUUGAAAUAAUUUUAAUUACUGGAGUGUUUCUGAGAUUAAAAUAUUUGUUGAAGAAUUUAGGCGGGAUUACCUGUUGAUAAAAAAUGGACUAGAGGCGAAGAAUCUUGCAUUGGAUAUUGGAGGUACAAGUAUCAAAGAUGGGUUUUCAAAUGGCACUAAUAGUAAUCAGGGCGGCGGUGGUAUUGUGUGGAGAGAUAAUUUGCCUAAUGAUGCUGAUUCCAAGAAUGAGAAAACUGUUGGUUCUUCGUUGUUCAAUAUUAUUUGAUGUGCCAGAUCGAGGACAGUCUAGACAAAUCCCAUCUGGAAAUGCUGGAACUUCGACUACUAAAUCCGAAGAAGAAAAGUUUCUGCUAGCAAGCCAGUGGCUCGAGCACAGGCUAAGCUUCUGAUGUGCCGUGAAUGAUUCGAAAAUCGGCAACAAUGAAUCUGACGAAAAUGGAUGAAGGAUGGGUCUGGUUGUGUUGUCUUUCUUUUGGUGUUUAGGCUGGAUUGUAGUGAUUUCAAGGUAAAUAAGAUGGAGGAUAGACUAGAAUGAUACUUUGAUAAGUCGAUCUGGACGCCACAAAGAUCAAUCUAGGAUUUUGACGCCACACUCUUUGUGAUUGAAGAGUGAUAAGUCAGGUAGGGUUCUUCACAAAAUCAAUUUGGAAGAACAACUCUUAAUUCUGUGAAUUAAGUUUCAAAUCUUGGCCAAAAGUUCUUUAUUACAUAUUCUGAUACUAUAUUUAUAAUUGGAACAUCCCUCCAAAGUUAGGAAUAAUUCAACAUGGCAGAAGUCAAGCCCAAAAAACAGACUUUGACAAACUAACCUAGACAAAUUAACUAGCACACGUUUUUUGACCUUUCUAACACAAACAAACCAAAUUUAAAACAACCAUAUCUUCUUACACAAAAGUCCAAUACAAUCAUGGUUUGACAAUCUAGAAAGAACACGUUCUGAACUUGAAAUCCACCUUGAUUAGUCUUGUUUUCACAUGCAAUGGAUGACUUCAAAUUCGGGUUCAAAUUCAUUUGCUGUUCUGACCAUAAACAGCAUCAAUUCCUUCACUUAUUUGCAUAUCAACCCAAAUUCGAGUAGCCCAGCAUCAAAAGAACAAUUAAGGGCUUUUCUCAUCUCCAAGUUCCAAUUGUAGGCAAAUAAACAUCCUUGAACCAAUUUCAAACUGAUUGCUAAUUUUUAACUCUGACGCAGCUUCAAUCAUUCCAAUUUGACUCGUCAAGGCCCUUUGUAGUUGUUUCGCUCUCGCUCUUGUCAUUGGACCAUCUGAAUCCUCUUGCACAUUAGUUUUAGCCUUACAAGAUGGAUUAUAAUUCCCAUGAUGCACAUCAUCAGCCCCGGGUUGAAAAUGAUUUGCCAAAUGGAUUGGCUUAAACUUACUCAAAAACACCAUGAUCUUGCAGGUAUAGAAUUGCAAAUUUGCUGUCAUGUUUCUUUACUUUUGUUUUUUCUGUAUCCUUAAUGUUUAUUGUAGCAUUCUUACCAGUAUUUGGCAAAUAGUUGCCAUUUUACUAUGUUGUCUUACAUCAUCUUUAUUUUCCAUCUUUAAAGCCUUGACGUAUUGAGUUUUCCUCGAAGGAUUGGUUAAGAUUCAUCAUGUUGUCAUCGCUCAUUGUGUAAACAUCGAUUGAGAAGCAUGCUCACACCGUGAGAUUCUCUUUAUGAUGCAAGCAAGUGUGAUCUUAAGAAGAUUCCACACUAGCCUUGCAAACAUUUAUUCAUGAUUGAAUAUGUUUUUAUUGAUGCCAAUUUGCUGAACUGGUAUAGUUCAGCAAAUUUAGGAAAAGACUGUACAUCUUUAUUCAGUAUCCUUUUCUGGAUUUUCUUUUUCUUGGUGAAUUUUAGAGGUUGUAGCUGAAGAUCAGCUUGGACCGGAUAAUCAUCCCAUGUGAAACAUCAACUUUUUUUCAUGCUGUGCAAAAAUGAGCAAGCUUGAAAGUGAAUUCAUUUCAACCCAAUUUGAAAUUGUUAAGAUUUUUGUGGUUUUAUUUUUUCUUUGAAGCUAUAUUUAUACUCGAUGCCCCAAAAACGAGUUAUAUUCUGCUCACCAUCGAACUUACUAACCAUGGUCAAGCUCGAUCCAUGGGGAAGUCUAUCAGUUCAUCUUAAUUAAGAAGCUGUCCUUCAAGACGCAUGACACAGGCUUUUUUUCCCCUUAAGACUAUUGAGCUUCUCUGCCCAGAUUGCAAUCCUUAACACUUUAUUUCAGACAAUUACCAUGCCUGGGUGAAUGCUGAAUUCUUGCUAGAGAAGUGUCUUGUGGGCACUUCGGAUGCAAGUCAGUGAAGACAGUUGUGUCUUGCAUUUCAUAAGUGGGCCUUGGCCACAUCGGCAUAAUCAUCAUACGAAGCAGAGUUCCUUCUGUAAUUUUCCUAUUGAAGCUUAUCAUGGCAACGAUGCCCUAAAAUUUUUUGGAUAGGGGGCAACAACACCAAAUCAGUUGUAUUCUUAUGUACAAUAUUCUUCUGUAACAGAAAUAUAUUUUGACGUUAGUGAUAUGAUAAAUAAUAAUGUUCUUACAUGAAAAUUACUUCCGAUGCUGUUGGGAUGAUGUAAUAAAACACAUUUUCCUCGAGUUUUCCUUUUUUUUGGGUUAAAGAUUUGUUAUGGAUAACAGGGUUAAGGAUGAAAGCUAAAUGUAACAAACGAAUUCAGAGAUGCUGCUGGAUUUCACAUGUGACGACGAGCCAAUAAACCAAAUUUUCCUUCAAUCACAUUGGUCCGUCGUGAAGUUUAUUGCUUUUGAUUCAUCGAACACGUAGAUGUAAUUAACCAUGAUGAUUAUUUUUAUUUUGGAACUCUAGACACCAGGUUUCUUUUAUCAGCUUUUGGCAUUCGGGUGGAAUUAGAACAUCUUUACUCUCUUUUUAUAUAUAUAUGUAUAAAAAAACAUACGGGGAUUUUGAAUUGAUGUUAUCAACCAUAUAGAUGGACCGGUCAACUGGUUAUAGCCCAGGUUGCCAGGUCUUUUUUCAACUUUGGUUUGAAAUUUUGAAUUUUCGAUCAUACGCACUUGAGUAAAUAAAGCUGUUGCCAUUACACAACAUCCUAGAAAUAGUAAAUUACAUAGUUUCUACUAUCAUCUUAUCCAUAAGGCUCUUUCUUCUGACACCACGUGAAGGCGACAUCAUACAACAACAAAGACCACAUGGCCUAGAUAGAUACGAAAGUAGAGCAUGUGCCUCGACGGAUGAUAACUGUUGCAGGAUCCCUAUAUAUAAAAACCAGGAACAUGUAGUUUUCUAAUGAUGGAAGCACCAAGGUAGAACUAGCACCUAAGCAAUAGGGGAUACCCUAACUUCAUCAAGUAUAGGACCACAAAGGGAUCCGUAGUCAUCAAUCCUAGUAUGGUAGUAUGAACUGUAAAAUGUAAUUCUUGUCCUAGCUGAAAUGGCUUUGAACUUGAAACUUGCGCUCUUGGAUUCACCCUUUCCUUUGGAUUCGAAUGGAACCUUAAAUGUAUCACCAGCAGCGAAUGCCUCAACCAUCAUGGAUCCAUGGCAACCAUUCCUCGCGUCUCCGAUUGUGAAUGCGAGACUGUAGACUUUGUUGGGAGUUGUUCUGAGGAUUUGGGCAAUUGCACUUUCUCUUCCUGCAACAAGCUCAACAGCAGCAAGUCCAAAGGGAACAUUGAAGUGCCUUUUGUCAAUGAACUUCACAGCUUUAAGUGAUUCAAUAAUCCAGCCAGGGAGUGGAGAUGUGAGAUCUUCUUGUCUUGGAGGAAGGAGGAUGCCAUUGGAGGUGUUUACUAACCGAUGAGGACCCUCCUCAAAGCCAUGAUUCCUUACAAGGUUAUCUACAAGACAUCAUUUACAACCAUCAACAGAUCAGAGAAGCUAUCAUCAAACUCUUGUGAAAGAAAAUAGAAAUCAAAUUUGAAAAUUUUACAUGUUUUAGAGCAAACAUUUAACUUCAAAAUUAUUUAACCACGGCAGCAACUUAACUAUCACCAUCACAGAUACAUAUAUCACUUCUAUCGCAACCAUUCAAAGAGAAUAGGCAGGAGUUUAGAACUUCAGAUGGAUAAACAAGACUGCAUCUCGAGUCAAGUGUAUCCUUUGUUUGACAAGAUUGACAAAGUGAUGGUAUCUAAAAUCAAAUUACCAUCUUCAAUAUCAUAUAUGCAAUAGAAACCAAAAAUUGUGGGCUAAAGCCAACCAGAUAAACCAAGCAACUAACUAAAGCGCAAUCUUGGAUAGAUCUACAAACAAUGUCUGAGGCUAGAGCAUCAAAUGUAAAGGCUUUGAAAGUUGAAGAUCCAAGCCAAUGAAAAAUAGUCUCUACAUAUGCAACAGCCUCGACAUACAAUCCCACAAAAACAAGUAAAACAGAAAAUAAUCUGGCAAAACAAAAUCAGACAAGAAAUCACAAAAAUACAGCUAAAACAAGCCCCACAAAUUCUCCAUACCAAAGACAGAACAUCACAAUAAUAGAGUUAGUUAUCAUUACCUCUCGUGGGCAUUGGUGGAAAGAGCUCCUUGAUAGCAACUGCAUCAAUGAGUGGUCCACACGCAGGGUCCUCUUGGACCCCGGUAUUGUGAAAUGUCACUUGAACAACAGUGGCAUUGAGUCUAAAUCCCCAAGCAUAAGUGUCUCCACCAUUACUACUAUACAGAGUCUGCAAAGGCAGGUCCCCAAACACAGGACCAACUGAGACUCUCAACACCUCGUCUUGAGCACAAGUUCUUGAAGCACCAAAAGUUAGGGCAUAAAGAGAGCCUGCUUUUAUCGUUAUUGUUUGAGAAAUUGAGGCCUCAUUGCCUAGCCUUACCGCAUGGACACCAUGAGCCACAUUAAAGUACAUGCCACCGGGUUGUGGCCCAGCAGAGAUGUAUUCUACGAAGCCAUUGAUUUCCCAGCUGGGGAGUGCAUUUUUUCCUUUAAGGACUGUUUUUCUGAUGGCACCAGGUUUUGGUUUCUCUUCAAAGUUGCCAUUUUUGAGAAAGCCUGGAGACAGAGAGCAGACCAAGUCAAAAUGAGAAAGUGAAAUUAAUAGUCAGCAAAGAAAUGUGCUAAAGAAAGUAGAGAACCAAAUCUGCAUCCCUCUUUCUUUGAUGGCCACUCUAAAUCUAAGAGUAACCUAACUUUCUCUUUUGGGAAAUCUUUGAAAAUGGAUGUGAAACUGUAAAUAGCAAGUAAAGGUGAAAAGGAGAAGAGAAAAUCCAUCACUAAAUCUUACAGCGAAGCCCUGAAAGAGGGUUUUAUAAGUAUGAAGCAUAAAGAUUCAACCUUGUAGACUAAAAAAUCAAACGAGACAUUAACUGCCAAAAGCCCAGCAAACAAGAAAAAUUUUGCACUAUAAGCACGUAUAUAUGCCAAAAGAGAGAACAAAAACACAAAAAACCCCAACUCAAUGAACACACUAUGACACUAUUAUGCUAAAUCUUCCUUGUCUAAGCCAGUUAAAUGGGGUCAAAACAUUAAACAUAGAAAUUAGUACUUAGCUAGCAUUACCUUCCAUGUAAGUAGCAGCUGAGGCAGAGCCAAUGAAGAGCAAGAACAAUGCAAGCAUAAGCGAAAACCCAACAGCCAUUUUCAGAGAACAAACGAACACAAACUAGCCAGGCUUUGUGCAGUGGCAGAGAGAGAUGAAGUGUCUUUGAUGUGGGAGAGAAGAAGGGUUAGGAAAUGCUUAUAUUUAUAACGAGAUGAGGACAAAAGUGAGUGAGAUAAGUGCACAUGGGCAGUCUGAGAAAUAAAAAAAGUUGGCAGAAACCACAUUAAUAGAGUCACAGAUCUGAGACACUUGUCUCUGUCUCUCUUCUCAAUUCUCCACAUUUCAUGGCAGUGGCGUUUAUGUGUAAUUUCAGUCAUUUACUCUUAGCUACUGUUCAUUUUGUUCUCCAGAAAUCCUUUUAUCUGAAUGUCAUUGGUUCUUACGCCUACUUGGCACAUCCUUAUAUUAGACUAAUUAAAGAAAUAGAAAAAUAGAAAAUAAACCUGUCAAAUUUAUUUAUUUUAAUUAAUUAGGCUGGUUUAGUUAUUUUUCUUAGUUAAUUUACUUUCUUUUAUUUAUUUAAUUUUCAUUUCACAUGAAAAAAAAUUUAAAAAACAAGUUAUUAUGGUUCUACAAUAAAAUAAGUGUCGCGCAUUCAUAUUGGUACUCUGAUAAAAAAAAAUAUCAUUAAGAUGUAUUAACUAAUAAUUAACUUUAUAAAAUAACAUAAAUAGUACAUGCUUAGUAAAAAAUAAAUUAAGAGAGCACGUGGAUCAAAUCCUGGGUAAAAGUAUUUCUUUAUCAUUCUCCACAAAGAAGAAAAAAGAGGAGUUUUCUUACAAGGUUGCAGAGAAUUGAUAGAGUUUUAAAUUCAAGGCCUUGAGUGGAUUUACGAGUCCCAGUAGUGAGUCACUGAGUUGUUUGAGAUUAGUCUUAUGUGAUUAUUUUUUAAAAUAUUUAUUUAUUUAUUUAUAAAUAUAUAAAUUAAUAUAUUUUUUUAUUUUUUUAAAUUUAAUUUUAAUAUCAGCCUAUUAAAAUUAUUAAAAAAUAUUUUAAAACAAAAAAAAAUCAAAAUUUUUUAAAAACACUUUUUAAACGCGAAAACAAACACACUCUCAACCCUCAUUUGAGAGUAUGUCCCGGAUAUUGGUUAAAAUUCGAUUUUUUCUUUGCUUAAAAUUAAAUUUUUUUGUAUUUUUGUAUCGUUUUAAUAUGUUGGUGUUCAAAAUAAAUUUUAAAAAUAAAAUAAAAAUAUAAUUUUAAUAUAUUUUAUAACAGAAAAACACUUUAAAAAACAACUGCUACUGCUAUCCUCCACGCCCCUUCAUCUAUUAUUUUCAAAUUAGACAUGCUUUCCAAUAUGAAGAUUAUGCUUUUGGACAACAUUACAUAUUUGUAAAUCAGAACUUGUAUAAGUUUCAAUUCACAUUCGAUAUAAAUAGUUUGAGUUUAGUUUCCUAUACAAGGAAUUCUUUCUCUCUCUUCAAUCGUUAUCUGCUAUUCCCUUUCAAAAGUCCAUCUUCUUUUUCUCUCUCAAAAUCUAUCUUUAAAAAAAAAAAAAAAAUCUUGUUAAAAUGAGACCUUAACAUUGAAAUUGAACUCCCGAUUAUGCUUUUUAUUUGGACAACAUUACAUGUAAGAGAUUUAUAAAUCGAAACCUGAACCAGUUUCAAUUCACAUUCGAUAUAAAUAGCUAGUUUGACUUUGAGAUUUUGAAAUUGAUUUAGUUUCAUUCUAGAAAUCACCAAUUUAGUUGUGAAUUUUAGCUGUGACUAUAGCUAUAGCUUUUAAGUGUUUGAUAAUAUUUUAAAAAUUAAUUUAAUGAUCAUUUUAACAUAUUAUUUUCAACACCUAUAAUUUGUAGCUUUUAAAAAAUUAAAACUACAUUCUUUGCAAACAAACUUAUGUCCUAUCUAACCAUUUAGUAGGUGGCCCCAUGGCAAAAACUUGAAAUUAAGGGGUUUACUUCCCCUGUAAUCCAAGGUUCAAGCCCUAUGGGCUAUAGUUGCUAAUAUUGACGGCCACUAGAGACUUACAUGGUCGUUAACUUUAGAGCCCGUAUAAUUAGUUGAGGUGCGCGUAAACUGGACGGACACCCACAUUAAUCUAAAAAGAAAAAUUAAGUCCUAUCUAGAGGGUAUGACAAAGAUUUGAUUGUAAUAUUUGAAAUGAUGAAUAAAUUGAUUAUAAUAUUUAAUCUAAUGUUAUUAGUUCAAGUUGAUUUGUUGAUUAAAUUUGUAAAAUCUAAAUGUGAUUUCUAAAACCAGACGUAAAUGCAGAAAACUCGAUAUGAUUUACCGCUGGAAACUAAUUAGGACAUUUAUAUUUGUUAUGUAUUAGUUUUUUUCUUUUUCCCUUUUUUUUUUUUGGCGUGUAUAUAGUUUCUUGAUAAGCUGAUAACAAGAAUCCAUAAGAAAGUAAAUUAUUUAUUCGAACUUCUCAUCAGAUCCAAACUCGUAGAGAGUAUACUUUAAAUUUCUUGAUUUGAGGGUCGAAUUCAGUUAUAGAUUUAAGUAAUUAAACUGUGAUUCUGAUCUUGCUAAGUUCGAACCAAUUUCAACAUCUUUUGGAUCUGUUAAGAUAUCAAAUUAAAACUUUUUUUUAUUUUAAUAAUUAAAAUAUUCUUCAACUAGUUUGUUUGGAAUUUCUUAAGUCAUUCUCACUUGGAAUGCAUCAUAACAUCAUUUAUUCCUACAUACUUCGUAGCCUCUACAGCAUACUUCUCAAUCCCAAGAUGAUGUCGUCUCUCAGUAAAUCACUGUCGUCUUAUAUUGGAAUAACUACAAUCACUGUACGUGGUCGUGGUCUAGCUAUGUAUGGAUAUGUCGUCGAUGAACGUAAAAAGCCAGCAAAAAAUAUCAAAGAAGAAGAUAUAUAUACAUAUAUAUAGUGUGUAUUGUGAUCGAUUUGAGCUUUGGAAAAAAUCAUUUAUUGUAUAUUACUUGGAUUGCCAACACUUUUAUUCCCUUUUAUCAGCAUAUUAAUUAUGUGGACACUUUGCACAAAAUAUUUGGACUUUUCUUCAACAACGUUUAUCUUAUCAGUAUAUUAAUAAUAUAUGCCAAGAACUUGGUGGUGACUUUUAUAUAUAUAUAUAUGUUUUUUUUUUGGAUCAUCUGGUCAUUUCUGAACCUUAAUAGAAGUGUGGUGAUGACCUCACACUUUUUGUUGCAUGUUUUAAGGGUGUGUUUGACAUUAUGUUUUGGAAGCAUUUUUUAAAAAAAAUAAAAUUUUUUUUCUUCAAAUUAAUAUUUUUUAAUGUUUUCAGAUCAUUUUGAUGUGCUAAUAUCAAAAAUAAUUUUAAAAAAACAUUUUUUUGAUGUGUUUUGGAAUGAAAAACACUUUAAAAAACAACCGCUAUCACACUCUCAGACACACUCAAAAUACAACUUGCCGCAUCCAUGGUGGCUAUUCACAACGACUCUAAAUCUGUUCGUGCGAUCUCUUUUAUUAUGCCUUGUUUUAGAUAUUGCAAACCUAGCUUUGACGUGAGAGACAUUUCACAAGUAAUGCAAUUUUGUUUUUUUUUUAUUAUUAACAUGAGUGUUCGGGCUAUCAUGACAUCUCAAGUAAUGGAUAUUAUAAAUGUUUACGAGUUAAAUUUAUAUUGUUAAUUUUUAUAGAUAUGUGUUUAAGUGCGAGCUUAUAAUAUAAAUUGUAGGUGUCAUGAUACCCUCAAUAUAGGUAAAAUUAUCAUAUACUACAUCAUUAUUGAAUUCUUCUCUCUUCUUCCCUCCUUCUAGCAAAUACGUAAAUUAUUUUUUUAUUAUAAUUAAAGAAAUUCAAUAGAAAAUCCAUUAAUAAAACUAAAAUAUUUCUAAAUAAAAUAAAAAUAAAUAUUUAAUUCAUAAACUAUUAAAUAUAAAAACAAAAUUAAUAUAGGAUGAGUUAGAUCGAGUUUUAAAAAUCUUUACCAACCACCCACUUAUAAUAUCUAUUUUUUUUUAAAAAAUUAAACCACAAUAGUCUAUAAUAUACAUAUUAUUCAAUUUUAACUGUUUGGAUUGUAUCGAAUAAUACAAAUAUUAAUAAAAUACGCAGCAAAACACAAUACAACAGCCAACAAGCAACGCAAAGGACCAACACGGGCCUUGUCCAAAACGUGGGGAACUGCAUUUGAUACGUGUCACUUGAUGAUACCAUCACAGGAGAAAAUAAAAUCAGAAAAGGAAAGAGUAUCCACACUUCAAGAUCACCAGAUAAUUUCCUCGAGCUUUGAUAGCCAGAUAAAUCCUCGGCCGUCAGAUUCUUAAAACCCACUAUCAACCAUCAAAAUUAAAACUCCGCCCAAAAUUCAAAUUUCAAAAUUCAAUCUCACUUGACCGUUAGAUCUCUUCUCUCUUCCCUUUUAAAAUCUUUCCUCAGUCUUUCCCUCUCCAUUUUGCUUCAAGAGUCAAAGACACCAUCUACGUGUCUCUCUCUCUAAAAAACCAAACCCUAAAACCAAAUCCAUCUCAGAAACACCUCUAGAUACCCUAAACUUUCGUUCAUCCCCUUCAAGAAACCCUAAAAAUAACAAAAGAUUCACGCAUUGCCUCUCUAGGAAACCCUAAAUCGCGAGUGUCUCUCUCUACAAUGGCGGCAGAGACAAAGAAAAUCCCAUUAUCAACAAGCGACAGCUUAAAUAUGAACCAGGAAAAGACAAUCGAAGAAACCUACCAGAAAAAGUCCCAAUUGGAGCACAUUCUUCUGCGACCCGACACCUACAUCGGGUCAAUCGAGAAGCACGCGCAGAUCCUCUGGGUUUUCGAGAAUGAUAAAAUGGUCCACCGAUCGGUUACUUAUGUACCGGGACUUUAUAAAAUCUUUGAUGAAAUAUUGGUGAAUGCAGCGGAUAAUAAGCAAAGAGACCCGAAAAUGGAUUCUUUGAAGGUUGUGAUUGAUGUGGAGAAUAAUUUGGUUAGUGUUUAUAACAAUGGAGAUGGGGUUCCGGUGGAUAUGCACAAGGAGGAAGGAGUUUAUGUGCCCGAACUGAUUUUUGGGCAUUUGUUGACUAGUAGUAAUUAUGAUGAUACGAUGAAGAAGACUACUGGUGGGAGAAAUGGAUAUGGUGCUAAGCUUACGAAUAUUUUUUCGACCGAGUUUGUGAUUGAGACGGCUGAUGGGAAAAGGAAAAAGAAGUAUAAGCAGGUAAAUCUGAGUUAGAAAGUUGGUUUCCGUUAAUGUUUAAUGAUUUGUUUUUUUUUUAAUUAUUUUUUAAAAUAUUAAAUCUAUCAGAUACGAAGUGCACUACAAUUUAAGGUUUAAUUGAUUAGCGAGAUUGCAGUUGAAUUGUUACUUUAUAUAUAUUCUGGAAGAGGUUUAACAUACUUCAAAAGGUUUUGAUUUAAUUUUAUGUUGAUUUUUUUGCUGGGAUCUGUGAUAUGUGAACCGGUAUGGAAGUUUAACUUUCAAAUUCUAGUUUGUUUUAAGAUGAAUUUUAAGGUACUUAAACUAGGCAAACUAUGCUUUACAAGGACUAAGUGUGAUGAUUCUGCUGGAUUCUUUUGUUGAUCUUUUAACACGCUCUUGUGUGUAACUUUGGUUUGUGUUGCUGAUAUAAAGGUUUUCUCUAACAACAUGGGGAAAAGAUCUGAGCCGAUAAUAACUAAGUGCAAGGAGAGUGAGAAUUGGACCAAGGUGACAUUUAAGCCCGAUUUGGCUAAGUUUAGCAUGACUCACCUGGAAGAAGAUGUGGUAGCUCUGAUGAAAAAAAGGGUGGUUGACAUGGCUGGUUGCCUUGGAAAGACUGUCAAGGUUGAGCUCAAUGGAAGUCGUGUUCCUGUCAAAUCAUUUCAAGAUUACGUUAACAUGUACUUGAAUUCUGCCGCUGAGUCUGGCUCAGAACGCCCAAAAUGGUUGUUUUUUAUGGUCUUGUGUCUGGUUAUCAAAUUUUUUAUAUGUUUCUUCCUUUAAAAUGCUCAAUGGGUAUUUUUUGGUUUUGGCCAGUUUCUACGAUAAAGUUGGUGAGAGGUGGGAGGUUUGUGUGAGCCUUACUGAAGGUCAAUUCCAGCAGGUAAUUGAGAACCUUUUUGAAUGAAUCAUAGUUUAUUUCCAAGUUCCUAUAUCCCGAAUAAUUGGUUUUCUUUAACAGGCCAGCUUCGUUAAUGGCAUUGCCACCAUCAAGGGUGGAACUCAUGUUGAUUACGUCACUAAUCAGAUCACUAACUAUGUGAUGAAUGCUGUUAAUAAGAAGCACAAGAAUGGCAACAUCAAAGCCCAUAAUGUGAAGAACUAUUUGUGGGUUUUUGUCAAUUGCCUUAUUGAUAACCCUGCUUUUGAUUCUCAAACAAAAGAAACUUUGACACUUCGCCAGAGCAGUUUUGGAUCAAAAUGUGAACUUUCUGAAGACUUCUUGAAGAAAGGUCUGUUACAUGUGCUGUUUGGUUUUCUGUAAACUGGAGUUUGUUAUUUAUUAUAUGAUAGUUCUGUGUGUUUUAAUGCUGAUCAUUAUUUAUUUGCAGUGGCAAAGUCUGACAUCGUUGACAACCUCCUUUCGUGGGCAAAAUUCAAGGAAAACAAAGAGCUUAAGAAAACUGACGGAACAAAGACAGCAAAGGUUAAUGUGCCAAAGCUUGAGGAUGCUAACGAGGCUGGAGGGAGGUAUUCUGAAAAAUGCACUUUGAUAUUGACAGAAGGAGAUUCGGCAAAAGCUCUGGCAGUAAGUUCCAUGAUCAAUAACGUUUUCUGUGGCAACAUCAAUGUAACUUUCUUUAACAGCAAUUAAUGUACGCAGAUUGCUGGUGUGGCUGGGCUGUCUCAGAUGGAACGGAACUUCUACGGGGUAUUCCCUUUGAGAGGUAAAUUGCUCAAUGUGCGAGAAGCCACGUCUAAACAGCUCAAAGAGAAUAAGGAAAUUGAGAGCAUCAAGAAGAUUCUUGGGUUACAGCAUGAUAAACAGUACAGCAAUGUCAAGUCUUUGAGAUACGGUCAUCUGAUGAUAAUGACAGAUCAGGUUAGUGCUUUACUUAGAUAUUUUUGCCAUGGCUCUCUCCCAUAAUCCCAGAGCAGAGAUUUGCUAACCUUUUGUGCUUUAAACAGGAUCAUGAUGGGUCUCACAUUAAAGGCCUACUGAUCAAUUUCAUUCAUUCAUUCUGGCCAUCAUUACUGAAAGUCCCAUCUUUCUUGGUUGAGUUUAUAACUCCUAUUGUCAAGGUUGGUGCAUUUAACUAAUCAGUCGUUAAAAAAUGGUGAUAUUUUUCUUCAAGAACGUUGGUAAUUUUCAGUGCUCAUUGUUCGUGCAGGCUACUCAUAGAAAUGGAACAGUUCUAUCCUUUUAUUCCAUGCCGGAGUAUGAAUACUGGAAGGAAAGUUUGAGUGGGAAUGCAAGUGGCUGGUCCAUCAAAUACUAUAAGGUUUGUUCACUUGACAUGGAAGAAAGGAAUCUGGGUAUACAUGGUUAUAUUCGUGUGCUAUCAGUCUUUUAUUAUCAUUGUCAUUCCAUCUUGGAGUAACAUAGUUGAUGUCCUUGUAGGGGUUGGGAACAAGUACAUCCAAGGAAGGAAAAGAUUACUUUAAAAACCUUCACAAGCACAAAAAAGACUUUUUAUGGAUGGAUGAGCUGGACGGGGAUGCGAUAGAGCUUGCGUUUAGUAAAAAGAAGAUUGAAGCAAGGAAGAAUUGGCUUCGGCAGCAUGAGGUUGGUUUUGCUGCAUAUCUGUGGUUAAAAAAAGAAAAUGCUUAUCGUAUGAAACUACUGUCUUUUAAGGGGAUCUUAGUUUAUCUGAAUUUUGCAGCCUGGUACUCACCUUGAUCACAAUCAGAAGAUCAUAAAGUACAGUGACUUCAUUAACAAGGAGCUUAUAUUGUUUUCUAUGGCGGAUCUUCAAAGGUCCAUACCUUCAAUGGUUGAUGGCCUGAAGCCUGGUCAGAGGAAGAUCCUUUUCUGUUCUUUUAAGAGGAAUUUUGUCAAAGAAGCAAAAGUUUCCCAGUUUUCUGGUUAUGUAUCCGAGCAUUCUGCUUAUCAUCAUGGAGAGCAGAGUCUUGCCGGUACCAUCAUUGGAAUGGCACAAGAUUUUGUUGGCAGUAACAACAUUAACCUUCUUCAGCCAAAUGGUCAAUUUGGCACUCGCAGUGUGGUAAGAUAAAUGAUGUCUCACUUUUUGAAGUUGAAUCAACGCUUAGUAAGUUGCAUUAACACUAAUCUUAUUCUCAUUUUUUGUUUUUGAACCUGUUCUUCACAGGGAGGCAAAGACCAUGCAAGUGCUAGGUACAUUUAUACGCAGCUUUCUCCUAUUACAAGGUUCUUGUUCCCAAAGGAUGAUGAUGGCCUUCUUAACUACUUGGAUGAAGAUGGGCAAACCAUUGAACCUACUUGGUAAAUGUUUCAUUUCAAUAAUAAAAGGAGUUAUUGGUGCCUUCAAGGUGAUAUUUAUAAUGAAUGUUGCCUAACAGCCAUUUCGGUCUAGGUACAUGCCAAUUAUACCAACGGUCCUUGUAAACGGUUGUGAAGGAAUCGGCACUGGCUGGAGCACUUUCAUCCCUAACUAUAACCCAAGGGAUGUUGUUGCAAAUAUAAGGCGGUUGUUGAAUGGUGAAAUGAUGGAGCCUAUGAAUCCAUGGUAUAGAGGUUUUAAAGGAACUAUUGAAAAAGGUGCAUCCAAGGAAGGUGGUUGUAGUAGCUACACAGUAAAUGGAGUCAUUAACGAAGUCAAUGAGACAACACUCAGGAUAACUGAACUGCCUAUCCGUAGAUGGACUGAUGAUUACAAGGCAUUUUUGAAUUCGGUUACAGAGGGGACUAGAGAUGAAAAUGGCAAUUUACCAAAAGAUCCCUUCGUUAAGGUAAUAUUGAUAUCUAACAGGUGGUGUAUUGUGUAAUGCUUGUGUUUUCUAAUGGAAAAUGUUCUGGUUGCAGGAUUUCAGAAAGUAUGGUGAUGAUGCUGCUGUACAUUUUGAAGUUCAGUUGUCGGAAGAGAACAUGCUGGUUGCAAAGCAAGAGGGUUUGCUAAAGAAAUUUAAAUUAACUACCACAAUUAGUACGAGUAACAUGCACCUCUUUGAUUCAGCAGGGGUGAUUAAGAAAUAUGACAACCCUGAACAAAGUACGAGUUAGAUGUCAUUUAAUCUUUGUUCUCCAGUACAUCGUUGUUUGAAUGCUCAUUUUUCAUCUUUCAAUCUGCAGUUCUUGAAAAUUUUUUCCACUUACGGCUUGAAUACUACGAGACAAGGAAGGUAAGUUCACUUUGAAUUGUAGAAUAACCCAUAAAUGUUUUCAAUUACUUCCCAUUGAUAAACAGUUCUAAUUACAGUCCUUUUUUCCUAAUGCAUGCAGAAAGUUCUGCUGGAAAAUCUAGAAUUUGAGUUGUUGAAAUUGGAAAACAAGGUCAGGUUUAUCCUUGGAGUUGUGAGAGGGGAAAUCAUUGUGAACAACAGGAAAAGAGCCGAUCUGUUACUGGAGUUGCACCAGAAAGGUUUUAACGCCAUUCCAAAGAAAUCUAAGGCUGUUGUUGCUGGGGCAACUGACGAUACAGAAGAAGCAGAAGACAGCCCUGAUGUUUCUGGAGUGCGGGCUAGUGACUAUGAUUAUUUGCUGUCAAUGGCAAUUGGAACCUUGACACUUGAGAGGGUUCAACAGCUAUGUGCUGACCGGGACAAACUGAAUGGGGAGGUUGACAGUUUAAGGAAGACAACUCCGAAAGUUUUGUGGGUGAAAGAUCUCGAGGCUCUUGAGAUGCAACUUGAUGUAUGUGCAGCGAAUCAACACUCCAUAUUUGCUUUUCUCUAACUUGUAUUCUACGCUUUGCUAUUUCAUUUUCUUUGCUGUUUCAUCUCUCUGAUUUUUAAGCAAUAUAUGCAUUUAGAUGCUGGAUGAAUAUGAUGCUGAAGCAGAGGAGGCAAGAAGGAAAUUAAAAGGUGGUGGUGCAAAGGGUGAAGCUGGUUUUAAGGUUUCUAAACAAGCACCUAAAUAUCCACGGAAGAACACUAAGAAAGCCAUAAACGAAGAAGUAUCUGUUGAGACCACAGGAACAUCAUCCAGUUUUGCAAUUGAAACAGGUCAGCAGGCUGAGAUGCUUCUACUAACAAAUUAUCUUUCUUGACAUGUUUUAUAAAUUUCUUGAGCUCUGUUAGUGUUUUUUCUUUAGCGUCGUCAGAGAAUGCUGCUGCGGUAGUGAAACCCAAAGGAAGGGCAGGCUCAAAGAAGGCUCCUGCUAAAAUGGUACAUUUUUCGAUCCUUCAACUCCCCACCCAACCAAAAAUAAAAAGAAAACAAAACAGCUGACAGAUGAAAUUGGAGCUCUUUGGAACUUACAAUCUACUGUUUCUGUUCUUCAGCAGGAAAAACUCUCUCCAGUUUUGGAUGACUUUGAUGAGGAUGAUGAAAUAGAAUCUCUGAAGGAUCGACUUAAUGCAUAUAGACUUGAUUCUUCGCCUGAGCAAUCAGCUGGUAAGUUUUCCUCACCAAUUUAAUUCUCAUUAUACUUCUUUAGCAUUCAACAAAAUUGUUUUAAUGAAACUUCAAUUGUUUUAUAGAAAUUAAACAUCUGAAUUUUGGAACUCAAAAAAUGUUUUGUAGAAAAAACCAGUUUUUUCUCUGUCCAUUUGAAAAAUGAUGUGGUUUUAACCCCUACUCAAACACUGAUGUGGUUAUAAGCCACAGAUCUGACUCUGACUUGUGAUCUUAAUGGCUGGUUUGUUUUACCAUCACAGAUAUGGAAACUGAUGUGCUACAAGUACCAGCUAGGAGAGGUGCUGCUCGGAAGAAGCCUCUAGCAAAUGUUUCAGUGAUCUCUGAUAGUGAGGAUGAACCAAACCUUGACGAUGACGCUGAUGUAGAAGUGAAAGCUUUACCAGAAACAAAAAAGAAGGGGGGCAGAAAAGCUGCUGCUGCAAAUGACAAGGCAGCCAAACCACCUGCAGCAACAAAGAGGAGAGGACCGGCCAGCCAGCAGUCCCAGGGAUUGGGCCAGAAACUUCUAACGGAAAUGUUGAAGCCUGCUGAAGGAGCAGGAAUAUCUCCAGAAAAGAAAGUGAGGAAAGUGAGGGCAUCUCCAUUCAACAAGAAGAGUGGUUCUGUGUUGGGCAGAAUUCACAAGGAAGAUGAUACUGGAAGUGAACCGAUGUCAGCUUCUUCAUCUGAAAACACUGAUGUCAUUGACGUCCCGGCAAGAGCAAGACCACAGAGGGCAAACCGGAAGCAGACUAGGUACGUGCUGAGUGACUCUGAGAGUGAGAAGGAAGACUCUGAUUUUGAGCAGGCUAAUGAUGAUUCAGACUCUUCCUCUGACUAGAAGGUUGGUUGGUUGGUUUAGUUAUGGACGGGAAACUGGAGCUCAUUUCCCUAAGAACUAAUUGUAUGCAUUCUUUGUCGGCAACAAUUACCUGAUAAGAUUUCAAGCAAGGAAAAUAUUCUGUUAGAACGAUUUUUCUUGUGAAGAAUAAUUUGAUAUUUGCUUCAUAUCAAGUUUACUAUUUUUCCAAGAUCAAUACAGUAUCAUUUACCUUUUCUUUUCCUUUAAUUUUGCUGCUGAAAAGAAUUUCUCCAAUGAAUGUCAUGUUAUCAAGAUAUGUAUGAACAAUUGAGAAGGAAAAAUUGACUAGAUAAAUUAUUUAUUAAAAAAAAUUAAUUGCUGCUAGAACAAAGCUAUAUCAAGUUGCAAUUGUUUCUUAAUAAAAUCUGAAAAGUCCGAACUCCAAUUUCUCACUCUACUGGAACCAUAUUAACAAAAUCUUCACAAUGUCAAGAACUAGAGCAACUGAAAGUGGCUGUGAUUGAAGGCAGAUUUGUGAAUGUUGAUUGCAAAUAUGGGAAGAGAACUGUACCUCGUCAACAAUGCUGAGAAUUUUCCCAUCUCCCUAAUAUAUAUAUAUAUAUCAUUUUUAUUUUUUGUUCUGCAACCGAGACUAGGAGGGAAAAGUCUUAGCACAAAUUAUUUUUUAUGUAUUUUUUUUAAUAAAACUUUUUUAUUAGCAAAAUGAUUUUUUAAUAAAAGAUUAAAGGACUAUAUAAAAGUCUGAACCAAUAGAUAGAAAUUAGGCGUGCAUUUUCAAGGAAUAUAUGUAUCAUUAGUUUUACUUUCCUUGCAAGGAAUAAUAGAGAACUUCCCAUUUGCCAGUUUUAGAAACCAUCGGAUUUAUAUUUUUUUUCACAAUUUAUCUCAUUCUCAUCUCACCUGAUUAGUUUGCCUACUGAUUAUUUUAAUAUAUUUUCAAACAAAAAAAUUAAAAAGCAAUUAAUACCCCAAAACACCCUCUUAAGUUUUCAAUGAACCCUUAAUUAAAAUCGAGUCUAAAAUACCCACAAUACCUGUGUUAUUACAAUGCUAGAAUGUGUAGGGGAAAAAAAUAACAGGUGCUCAUGCGGAGAUGGUUGAUCUGCCUGGGCUUCGGCUUUUGACUCUCUCCUACUCUAACGAUAAAAAGGAGAAAAAAAUUCACAUUUUUAAUUUUCCUUGAUUGUGCAAAACAAAAUCAAUGAUUAUUCUAACUAAAUAAUCGAGUAUCCUCUCAAGGUAUAUUCAUCCGGGAGCAAAACACAUCUACAUUCUCUUUCAGCCAGUUGAGAUGUUCUUCAGACAAAUCUUUCCUUUACUUCAAUAUUGUUAUUUAUAUUCAAGUUCAGAGACACAAAACUGCCCAAGUGCAAGAACAUGUAAAAUUUGUACAUUGACCAAGACAAGCGAUCUGCGUCGGCCUUUGCAUUUAAAUCAUGUAUGAAAUAGCAAUAAUUGAUCUGAACCGGUCAAUAUUUUCUUCGGCUCACAGAAAAUGGCCCUAAUGUACCUGAAAACAAUAUUUAAAUCCCUUCAGACGAUGAGAAUUUGAUCUAUCAUCUCUUUCCAACUGCUUCCAUAACGGGGAGCAGAUUACAACAUAUAGAGAUUUUGCAGUUUCUGUACACAUUCACGUUAGCAUUUAAGGAAGAAAAACAUAAACCGGAGACACGCCUAAAAUUUGUGAAACAGGAAAUGGGCGCUUGCUACAUUACAACAUACUAGCACAGUUCUAAAGAGUAAAUUUACCUGGGAUGGUGACAGUUUCUUAUGCUAAACCCUACACAAUCUCGAUCACAAGGUGAUGUUUCGUUUAGCAGCUUCCAUUUUUAAUAAGAGAUCCUUAAUAUCAGCUUCCAUCCUCGUCUUCAUACUGAAAUAUUCCCGAUGAGCUCUUUCCAGGGCCUGAAAUUCUUCAAAUUUUUGUUUACGCAUUUCCUCAACCUCAACUAUGCGCAAUUUAGAGAUUCUACUUGCGAACUCUUCCUUGAUUUUUUCACUCUUCGCAAUCGCAAUUCGUUUCAGGGCCUCAGCUUCUCUUCUAGCAUCAUCAGCACGUGCUUGAAACAUCUUAGCUUCUGCCUGUUUGAUUCUAACAAUGCUCUCCAGUUCAUCAAAAAGGGGCUCCUUUCGGGCACUUCUCAGUAACUCGGGUUCAACAGGGCAUUUAUCAUUCAAGUCAGAAUGGAAGCUAGGACGUAGGCUAGUUGAUCUUUCCAAUUGAGGAAUUUUUUCAGUGUAUACAGAUUUGAUCCAUGCAGCAUCGUGGCUAGGUCCAGCAAUGGCACCAUUGCUUCCAUUUCCUUGUUCCUUCAAGAAAAAACCAGAUGCGUUGCCAAACUUGGAUGGAUCACUUUCUGCAAUCAUGAAGGAGGACAUCAAUGGAAUGAAGACAAUACACAAAUAAACAACACAUUGAUAACAUAGGAGAGCAUGACAACCUCAAUAUGGCACAGUGGAAUCAUAUUGAGAGUGGCGAAUGCUAUGAAUUAAUUCAUUAAUACUCAUGCAAGUAGAAGGCAGCAUUUUGAUCUAACCUAGCCAUCAUCCAUACAUAACAAUAAGAUCACAUCAAAUUGAAACAGCAAAUAAAAUAUGUCCUGAAGUCUGUAUAAAGUUGGUACACAUUUAAAGAUUGGCACACCCUAGAAAAUAAAGGCUGAAAAUGGCAUUCCUCAUUCUGAAAUACAGAAAAAAUGAUUAAACUGUGUUCACAAGAAAUAUCUGAAUGCUCUGAAAACUUCCUCAUUCAGGAUGCCGAGAGAAAAAUAACUGUGCAGCUAAAAUGUUAGCAGUAUUAGAAAUGGUUGAAAGCAUUCAAAUUCACCAUCUUCAAAAUGGCAAGUCGCCCCAGUAUAAGAAUAUAUCCUAAAAGGUACAAACUACAAACAAAUGUGAAAAACUAAAAUGUACAUAUUUUUCAACAGCAAAAAAUAGAGAAUCAAUUAAAAGGGACAUAGCAAAGUUUAUCGAUAAUAACAAGCAUAAAGGAUGACAUACCAGCACAUCUCUACAGAAAGCUAACAACCCAAAGCACUCCAAAAAACAUUACAAAAAAGGUCCGUUGAUGUAUGAUUCAGAACAACUUACCAGUCAGCAAUACUAUUAUAUAAUUAUAAACCUCGGGAAGAUUGGACUUAUUUGCCAAUUUUGCCAGCAUCUGAUCAGCUAUUUCAUGCAGACGUCUCCCUCUCACAUCCUUGCUGGCACGGAAAAUUCUCUUGACAUAUUCAAGUUCUCUGCAAAAUGUUUCUGCAGUCCAAUCUUUUGCAAAGUUCUGAAAAACCUCCUUCACAAAGCCAAACAUCUCAGAAGGAUGAUCACAGGCAACGCAAUGGAACUGCAUCUCAGUAGUCCCUUGAGCACCACUGGCACUCCUUCCAUUCCUAAUGUAAGCUUCUCGUAAUGCACAAUCAGCAUGACACCAAUGAAGGCAAACAUCACACCCAACCCAACUACAUGUAUUAGAUGCCAUAUCAAACUUCGAGCACACAAGACACAUACAUAAACUGCAAAAACCAUUUUUCUUCGCGCAAACUUUGCAAUCACAUUCAUCCACAGGCAAAAGACUUUGACAUGUCAGAUUUCUGCACCUCAAGUUCAGGAAAAUCUCAGCCAGAUGAGAAGAUGAAAUGCCACUGUCUACUUGGAGAUACUCUGGAAAACCUGUUCGCAAAGCUACCAAGACUUCCAGUUGAGCACGAUGGGAUUUCAACAGCAUAUCCAAGGUUAAGUCAGACCUGUUUUGCAGCACGCUUUGAAGUGCACAUAUUUGCCCUUGCUUAUCGGUAUUUAACAGAAUCUCACGGAUGCUCUCCUUU
rnacentral:lncRNA from 1 species